rnacentral:lncRNA from 1 species
CUGGGGCUUUCAUAAAGCCGAAGAUAUAGAAAAAUUGCAUUUGUAUUAUAUGAAAAGAAUUUUAAAAGUUAGAAAAGGAACUGUUAAUAACAUGGUAUAUUUUGAGUUGGGCAGAGUGCCCUUGUAUGUAAAUAGAUAUGUGAAAAUGGUAACCUACUGGUUGAGAUUGUUAGACACAGAGAACUGUAUUUUAAAACAUGUAUAUAAUGAUAUGUACGAAUCUAGUUGUGUGAAGCCAAAUGACAAGCUAAAUUGGUCUUGUAAAGUACGAGAUAUAUUAUGUAAAUAUGGUUUUAGUGAUGUUUGGUUUUCACAGAGAGUUAGAAACAGUCAAUUAUUUUUGAGUGAAUUUAAACAAAGAGUAAUAAAUAAUUAUAUAUCUGAAGGUUUAUCAUAUUUUGAAAAUUCGCCGAAAUGUACUUUGUAUCAGUAUUUACACGAUGGCCACA